GUUCAAAAUAGCCUUGAUAUGAUGAAGGAUUUAUGUUACCCCCACUUCAAAUAAAAAGUACCGAGGGAUGCAUUUCAUUACUGCCCUGUGACACUGGAGAAGCCAGGGCUGCAGUGGUAAUAUUCCUCAUUUGUUUGUGUCACAAAGAGGAUUUAUUUGCAGGGAGAGUGCAACUCCAGAGAAAAUGAACAGUCAAUACAUACGUCACGAAGUGAGGGGAUGUGAAACCAGUGACCUGAGAAACUUCUGGGAAAAGACUAUUGAACAACAAACUCGGUAUCUGCAAAUUGAAAAAGAACGUCAGCAAAGAAGCGCUCUGACAAAGCUCAGAAAUGAAUGGAUGGAGAGGCUGGAAAAGCGGAUAAAGAUGUUGAGAACUGAACCUGAAGACCCAUCUAGCUGAAGAUCCACAUUCAUUGCAUGUAAAAAAGAAAAUAGUUUUGUAGGAGAGCAUGAUGGUGUGAUUCAAAAGCUCAAGUCAAUUUUACUUUGUGGCUUACAUGAGCUAUAAAUAAUUAGCUGUCCAUUAGAAGCUUCAUGUGUAAAAUGUGUAUUGCUGCUUUUAGUAUUAUGUGUCCAUCCCAUUAUUUGAUAAACAGAGAUUGAAGUACUCUGAAGUCUUCAAGACUAAUGAAUCAUGGUUCACUGAGCUGGGGAUGCUUGGGAAAAAUACAGUUCAGCUACAUAACGUUCAGCAAAAGCAUUUCCUGGACAUUUUAGUUUUUUCUCUAAACUGAUGGUAAUUUAAUGAAAUGGUUCUCUUUUUAAUGACUAGUUGAGUGUUUCUGGUUUUGUUUUUGUUUUAAAUACAGCAGAGCCCUUCUCAGACUAAGGAAGUGGGGACAUACAUAAAAAUACUAUCACAUCCAAAAUCACAAGUAGUGUUCUAUUUGUUAGGUGUAACAGAUUCUUGCUUCUGUAUUAAAUAUCUGUAAAGUCAUUAAUACAUAUUCUGAGAAAUAGACUUUGUGACAUACCAACAAGAGUUGCUUUAUUUGUUAACCCACAUUAUCUAACUUGAGAUGCUAUGCCACCAAAGUCAAAAUGACUUGGAGUUUGAGGGAUAGUUCUGGUACCCAAACCAACUUGUCUAGAACUGGUCUGGUAUCUCUUACACAGAGCAAGCUGGUGUACCUUCAAAGCUGCCUGUCAUCAUGAGUGACAAGCACACUUUUUGCUCUAACAUGGUGAGACCCAGUAAAUAUUCGUUCACAACCACUACAUUCAGAAACACAGCAAGUUUCAUCUUCCAGAUUUGCCAUUAGUCAGAACUGUUUCUAAUGCUUUCAGAAGAUGUAACAUCUCCUGAAACAGUAUCAAAGCAUAUCAAUAGGCUGUUAUAAUAAAACUGCUUCCUUUUUACA
rnacentral:lncRNA from 1 species